rnacentral:hammerhead_ribozyme from 1 species
AUCCAGUUGAUGAGUCUCAAACAGGACGAAAUGCGCUUUAUCCUGGAU